GAACCCACAGCUCCAUAAUAUUUCUCUUUCAGUGGGUAACCAGGAUGAAACUGUGGUGUUGCUUGCAGGAGAAGCUUACUACUGGUUUCUACUUCUCCAACCUCAUUGGUGGCUAUGCAGGAAGAGGUCUUCCAACAAUCUGGCAUGAGAGUUGAGCAGCUUCACCCAAUUUUGUGGUAACAUCCUUCAUUUCUUUGCGUAUUCCUGGGGCCUCUCCAGCUGAACGAUAUGAAAGGCACUGUCUCCAGACUGUCUGUAUUCAACCCAGUAUCCAAGAAUUUCUUUGCCACCAUCACAUUCAGGUUUCUCCCACUGUAGAGUGACACUAUCUUUGGAUAUUGAAAGAAUCUCAAGUUCUCCUGGUUGGCUUGGUUUAUCUGAAAUAUUUUAAAAUAAUGAAAAGGGAAUCAGCUUUACUGGUGAAAUCAAAGGACCAAACAUGGCUUGCUUCUUUAAUUUAACCCCUUCUUCUGAAUUCCUUACCAAAUGGAUCUUUGCAAACAACUGGUUCAGAAGCAGGGCUGGUCUCACUUAGGCCGACAUCAUUCUGUGCGAUGAUGCGGAACUGAUACUCAGCAUCGGGAACAAGCCCUGUGACAGUGUACAUUGUGGUGGUGAUCUGAGUCUUGUUGUGUCUGACCCACUUGUCAGUGGAUGUCUCUUUGCGUUCAAUGUAGUAGCCUGUGACUCGAGAACCACCAUCAUCUUUGGGCCGGGACCAGGACAAGCUAACAGAACUCUUGGUUACAUCGAGUACUUCUGGAGGAUUGCUUGGAGGUUCUGGAGGAUCUGUAAAUAUAAGUGGAAAGCACAUAUGUAUUAGAAUACAGUCCCAAGUAUUAUAAGCCAAUGAUUUUCAUUUAAAAACAGAAAAGUGCUAAAAUAAUGUUUAUAAUUUUGUGGUUGAAAGGGCACUUACUCAAUGGUGUUUUUGGUAUGACUGGUUCCUCAGAUUUCAAGGGUUUGCUUAUGCCAAACUGGUUUUCUGCUGAAACACGGAAAUGGUAUUCUACAUUCUCUUUGAGGCCUUUUACCACCAGAGAUGUACCUCGGACUCUGGAAUCAAUGGUAUACCAGGCGGCUUUAGGCACUUCUCGUCUCUCGAGGAUGUAGCCUAAGAUGUCAGCACCACCAUCAUCAGCAGGAGGUCUCCAGCUGACCCUCACAGAGCGGGCUUGGAUGUCAUCAUAUUCCAGUGGCCCUUCUGGACUGUUGGGACUUCCUAUCACCCUGACCUUGAUGUAGACAGCCUUCUUGCCACAUUUGUUUUCCAGAACCAGGUCAUAAGUGCCCGAAUCACCCCUGUCUGCUUCUUUGAUCACAAGCUCAGUGUGUGUUUCAGAUGUUGCAAUCAUGGCACGCUUACUAAUAUCCUGGCCUUCCUUGGUCCAUUUACAUAUUGGGAAUGGUUUUCCUUUGAUUGGUAUGGUAAGUCUGAUGACUCCACCUUGCCUUACAAAGAUACCUUCUUGGUAUCUUUCAUCAAGUUCAUAAUCAGGAUAUUCUGGAAAAAAAGGUAGGGUUUCAAUUUAGCAUUUGAGGUAGGGGGACUAAGAAAUAAGUCUGUGGCAAUUAUUGCAGAAAGUAAAUGAUCAUAUGUCUUACCAAGCAUUUCAGUGACUUUGACUGUUCCUGGUACCUCAGCAGGCUCACCAGGUCCACCAGCAUUACAAGCUAGGACGCGGAACCUGUAUUCCGCACCCUGAGGUAGGUGUGUUAGAGUAUACUCUCGAAUCUUGGUUGGAGUGGUGUUACACUUGGUCCAUUCAUGUUGAUCUACUUUUUGCAUUUCAAUCAAGUAGCCUGUGACUUUAGAUCCUCCUUCAUCUUCUGGAACGCUCCAGGCCAGGGAGACUGAUGUCCUUGUUGUAUCAGUAACCCUUGGGUUUUGUGGCUUUCCUGGAGGAGCUGGGAAUAAGAAUAAGACAAUAUACUGGUUAAAGUUGCUGCAAAGUUGAAAAUUAGCUGUGCCACCUAACAAAUUCAAUGAGUUGUUGAAACAGACUGUUAACAUUAGCCUGUUUUUUGUCUUGUGAAAAUUUUAUUCAUGGCCAGGUGUGGUGGCUCAUGCCUGUAAUCACAGCAUGUUUGGGGGCCGAGGUGGGCAGAUACUUGAGGUCAGGAGUUCAAGAGCAGCCUGGCCAACAUGGUGAAACCCCGUCUCUACUAAAAAUAUAAAAAAUUAACCAUGCGUGGUGGCAGGCACCUGUAAUCCCAGCUACUCAGGAGGCUGAGGCAGAAGAAUUGCUUGAACCUGGGAGACAGAGGUUGCAGCGAGCCAAGAUCAUGCCACUGCACUCCAGCCUGGGCGACAGAGUGAGACUCUGUCUCAAAAAAAAAAAAAAAAAAAUUUUUA